GCCUCCAACCCCUUUCUCCCCCAAAACGCAAACACACACACAAACAGGGGAGGACUUCUGAGAGAGCUGAGGGAAGGAGGGAGCUUCACUGCGCCGUCAUCCAACCGGCCGCAUCUGUUGCCUCACCGUUGCCUCCUCCAUCGUGCGCUAUUGCCGGCCUAGAACCGCCGUCAAUCUCGCGCCGCCGCGGUCCCGCCGAGCUUCCGCCAACACUUCACGAAGCAGAGAGAGAUAGAUGGAGAAGAGUGCCGUGGAGGGGGGAAGAGCCGCCGAUUGCAGUCGCUGUUGGGUCCUUGUUCCUCACCGUUGAAGGAGCUGCUCCCAGCCACGGUGGUCGCUGAUGUUCGCGCCGCUGUUGGUGGAGGACCUGAGGAGAGAGAGACGACACGACGGGAGAGAGAGGGAGUCGCCGUGGAGCCACGAGCUGCGCCAAUCACCGCUGUGUCGCGUCGGAGAGGAAGGCUGAGACAGAGCGCCGCUGGGAGAGAGAGGAAGACGCGGGCUGGAGGAGCUGCGUCCAGUCGCCGUUGUCACUGGAGUUCUGAGGCCACCGGGACCACCGCCAGAGCUUCUGGUUACUCUGCUGCCGUGAAGCCCUGCUACUGUUGGGAACCUUGUCGCCGCUCACGGGGUGCGUCGGUAAGCCUCUGCCACCGGAAAAUGUCACUGCUGCUUCGUCACCAGAGUUCUGGUUGCCGGAGAAAACCGCCUUGGCUGCUGAAACCACCGCCGUCACGGUUUUCGUUAUCGGAAGUCGUCGCCGCUGCCGCUUGAGGUGGCUGCCGCCGAACUGGUUCGGAGGCCGCCAUUGUUUCGGUUCAGCCUUUCCUUCUUUGUUCGUGUUGCUGUGGUUACCGCGGGAGUGGCUUGGAGCCGACGUUGCGGUUGUUGGUGAUUUCGGUUUAAGAGAGGAGGUCCCUGUGACGCGUUUGGGUUAUGAUUUUGGCAUUUUGAGUUUGAAACGUUCGGUCUUCUCUUCUCUUGGAGCACGCUGCACGCCCUCACAGCCUCGCUUCGGUCUUCAAUCAUAGCAAAGGUAACAGGAAAUUAGAAUAUUUUAGAUGAGAAAGUAAAGUAAAAUAGAUGCAAUUUUUAAGAGAAAAGUUACUGAUGAUGUUGGAGUUCAAACAAGUCAACCCUCUAAUCUUAUUUUACAAGAAAUUCAGGUAAGUGAACUCUCUAAUCUUACUCAAAAUACACAUCAACAAAAAGCCAAAGUUUCAAGAUUAGAAAGAGAUGUUGAUAUCUCUUUACUAGAAAGGGAUCCAGGAAAGCGACGUCCAAUUUGGCAGUAUAAUGUCAAUGAACAUGAUAAGAUUCGUAGAGCAUACAUAAUAGAUGGGCCAUACCAACCAACAAAUAUUAGCUAUCCAGCUUCUAGUAAUAACAAUCACCGUCGAUAUUUUCAAACUUCUUGGUUUAAGAAAUUUUCAAGUUGGUUAGAAUAUUCACCAGAAAAAGAUGCUGCUUAUUGUUUGCCUUGCUACUUGUUUGGUAAACCUUAUGGUGCUUGCAAUAAUGGAAAAAAUACAUUUUUAGAGUUAGGAUUUAGUAAUUGGAAGAAAGUAAACAAUGGAGUGAAUUGUGCAUUUGUAUGUCACGAGGGUUCUAUUCCUAAUUCUCCCCAUAAUUUAUGUAUGAAAUCUUGUGAUGAUUUAAUGGCUCAAUCUAAGCAUAUAGACAAAGUUCUUGAAAGGCAUAGUGAUGAAACUAUUGCAAAUAACCGCUUAAGGAUGAAGACAUCUAUUGAUGGUAUUCGAUGGCUUGCAUUUCAAGCAUGUGCAUUUAGAGGCAAUGAUGAAAGUCCUGGAUCUUUGAAUAAGGGAAAUUUUAUUGAGUUAAUUAAGCUUUUGGCUUCCUGUAAUCAGAAUGUUAAUAAUGUUGUUCUUGAAAAUUCUCUUGGAAAUGCUCAAUAUAUAUCUCCCGGUGUUCAAAAAGAUAUAUUACAUAUCUUUGCUAGAAAAGUGCGUGCAACAAUUCGAGAAGAAAUUGGUGAUUUUAAAUUUUGUAUAAUUAUUGAUGAAGCAAGAGAUGAGUCAAAGCGAGAACAAAUGUCGGUGAUUUUGAGAUUUGUAGACAAGCACGGUUGUGGUCAAGAAAGAUUUUUUGAUCUUAUACAUGUUUCUGAUACGUAUUCUUUGACAUUGAAAACAGAAAUUUCAUCAGUUCUUUCUCGUCAUAAUCUUGAUGUUCAAAAUCUUAGGGGACAAGGGUAUGAUGGAGCUAGUAAUAUGCGUGGUGAAUGGAAUGGAUUGCAAGCUCUAUUUUUGAAAGAUUGCCCUUUUGCUUAUUACAUUCACUGUCUUGCUCAUUGAUUACAAUUAGCACUCGUUUCUGUAGCCAAAGAAGUUUGCUAUGUUCAUCACUUCUUUUCAAAACUUACACUAAUUAUGAAUGUUGUGACUAUUUCUCCUAAACGUUAUGAUCUGUUAAGGGUUACUCAAGCAAAUAAUGUUGCAAACUUAAUUGCCGAUGAUCAACUUGUGACAGGUAGUGGACUUAAUCAAAUUGGUACUUUGCAAAGAGCUGGAGAUACUAGAUGGGGUCUCAUUUGAAUUCUGUACGUAGCUUGCUAUGCAUGUUUGAUGCUACUUGUGAAGUUCUUGAAAAAAGCACUGAAGAAGGUAAUUUCUCCACUCGUGGUGAUGCUAGUGCUGCUUAUGAUGCUAUCAUAUCCUUGAAUUUGUCUUAGUUUUGAAUUUGAUGAGAAAUAUUUUGGAAGUUAGUCAAGAUCUUUGUCAAGCUUUGCAACGAAAAAAUCAAGACAUAUUGAAUUCUUUAACUCUGGUUUCUACUACCUAGACUUUAAUCCAACGAAUGAGAGAAUCAAGUUGGGAGGCUUUCAUAAAAGAAGUUAUAUUGUUUUGUGAGAAACAUGAAGUUGAAGUUCCUGAUAUGAAUGCAUUGCAUAUUCAUAGAAGAGGCCGAACUCGCAAAAUUGUUGACCAAAUUUUAGUGGAGCAUCAUUACCGUGUUAGUUUAUUUCUGGCUGUAAUUGUGAUACAGUUGCAAUAGCUUAAUCGAAGAUUCAAUGAUAAUAUGGUGGAGUUGCUUACUUUAAGUUCAACUUUAGAUCCCAGAGAUAAUUAUAAGUUCUUCAGUGUCAACAAAGUAUGUGAAUUAGUAGAACGAUUUUAUCCAGGUGACUUCAAUGACCAAGAAAAAUUUCACAUUAGAAUGCAAGAUCAACAUUAUGAACUUCAUGUUCCUAAUCAUGUUGAGUUAACUAACUUGUGCACAAUUUCGGAGUUAUGUCAAGGAUUAACGUAGACAGAAAAGUCUUUAACAUAUCCUUUGAUUGAUCGUUUGAUUCGCUUGGUAUUAACUCUCUCUGUUUUAACUACUACAACUGAGAGAUCUUUUUAACUAUGAAUAUUAUGAAGAAUAGACUCAGAAAUAAAAUGGAAGAUGAAUUUCUUGCUAAUUGUCUUUUGAUUUACAUUGAGAAGAAGAUUGCUGAAAGAUUUGACACCGAUUCUAUUAUCGAUGACUUUUAUGAUAUGAAGAAUCGACGUGUACCACUUCGUUAGUAAAAAGUAUGCAUAUUUUGUUUGUACUUUAAAUAUAUAUUCUCUAUCGGUAUAUUUUUGUAAUGCAUCUUACAUUAUAAUUUAUUUACAUAUUUUUUUAAUAUUAUAUAUUUUAUU